UUAACUAUUAUAUAGUACUCAGACAUCACUAAAAUUCAGAGUUUGGUCCUCUGGCAGGCGCAUGCAGGCAGAGCCCACAGGGUCAAGACCACGGCCUGCCAAAGCAACAAAAGUAUAUAGACACGGAUGGAAAAGACUCGAAAGUCUAAACCUGUAAUGAUCCUUCCGCAGGUUCACCUACGGAAA
rnacentral:misc_RNA from 1 species